GAUGAACGCUGGCGGCGUGCCUAAUACAUGCAAGUCGAGCGAAUGGAUUAAGAGCUUGCUCUUAUGAAGUUAGCGGCGGACGGGUGAGUAACACGUGGGUAACCUGCCCAUAAGACUGGGAUAACUCCGGGAAACCGGGGCUAAUACCGGAUAACAUUUUGAACCGCAUGGUUCGAAAUUGAAAGGCGGCUUCGGCUGUCACUUAUGGAUGGACCCGCGUCGCAUUAGCUAGGUGGUGAGGUAACGGCUCACCAAGGCAACGAUGCGUAGCCGACCUGAGAGGGUGAUCGGCCACACUGGGACUGAGACACGGCCCAGACUCCUACGGGAGGCAGCAGUAGGGAAUCUUCCGCAAUGGACGAAAGCCUGACGGAGCAACGCCGCGUGAGUGAUGAAGGCUUUCGGGUCGUAAAACUCUGUUGUUAGGGAAGAACAAGUGCUAGUUGAAUAAGCUGGCACCUUGACGGUACCUAACCAGAAAGCCACGGCUAACUACGUGCCAGCCGCCGCCGCGG
rnacentral:rRNA from 1 species